UACAGGGGGGGCAAGGCGUUGUUCGGAAUUACUGGGCGUAAAGGGCUCGUAGGCGGCCAACUAAGUCACACGUGAAAUCCCCAGGCUUAACCUGGGAACUGCGUGUGAUACUGGAUGGCUUGAAUUCGGGAGAGGGAUGCAGAAUUCCAGGUGUAGCGGUGAAAUGCGUAGAUAUCUGGAGGAACACCGGUGGCGAAGGCGGCAUCCUGGACCGGUAUUGACGCUGAGGCGCGAAAGCCAGGGGAGCAAACGGG
rnacentral:rRNA from 1 species